AACCAGAUGGUCUAGUGGUAUGAUUCUCGCUUAGGGAUUACUCUGAGUAUGAUUGCGAGAGGCCCCGCGUUCGAAUCGUAAGUUAUCUUG
rnacentral:tRNA from 1 species